rnacentral:rRNA from 1 species
GGAAUCAUUGGGUUUAAAGGGUCCGUAGGCGGGCCAUUAAGUCAGGGGUGAAAGUCUGCGGCUCAACCGUAGAAUUGCCUUUGAUACUGGUGGUCUUGAGUUAUGGUGAAGUAACUAGAAUAUGUGGUGUAGCGGUGAAAUGCAUAGAUAUCACAUAGAAUACCGAUUGCGAAGGCAGGUUACUAACCAUAUACUGACGCUGAUGGACGAAAGCGUGGGGAGCGAACGGGAUUAGAUACCCCGGUAGUCCACGCCGUAAACGAUGGAUACUAGCUGUCCGGCAGCAAUGCUGGGUGGCUAAGCGAAAGUGAUAAGUAUCCCACCUGGGGAGUACGUCCGCAAGGAUGAAACUCAAAGGAAUUGACGGGGGCCCGCACAAGCGGUGGAGCAUGUGGUUUAAUUCGAUGAUACGCGAGGAACCUUACCAGGGCUUAAAUGUAGUCUGACAGCUUUAGAGAUAGAGUUUUCUUCGGACAGAUUACAAGGUGCUGCAUGGUUGUCGUCAGCUCGUGCCGUGAGGUGUCAGGUUAAGUCCUAUAACGAGCGCAACCCCUGCCGUUAGUUGCCAGCAUGUUAUGAUGGGGACUCUAACGGGACUGCCGGUGCAAACCGCGAGGAAGGUGGGGAUGACGUCAAAUCAUCACGGCCCUUACGUCCUGGGCCACACACGUGCUACAAUGGCCGGUACAGAGAGCAGCCA